GUCUACGGCCAUUCCACCCUGAACAUGCCCGAUCUCAUCUAAUCUCGGAAGCUAAGCAGGGUUAGGCCUGAUUAGUACUUGGAUGGGAGACAACCUAGGAAUACCAGGUGCUGUAGGCA
rnacentral:rRNA from 1 species